CCUAAUAGGCAUGAUGAUGUCUUAUCUCGUGCCCUUGGGAAAAAAGAUCGUAAUGGUCGGGCAAUAGCAUUUGGCAGUGGAAUUGGCAUUAAAGCUGUAUGGGGAUCCGGAGAGAGGCGUAGCAGCCGACGGGGUAGGGAAUUCGGAGAUGAUGAGCUGGAAGAAUUAGAGGCAAGAGUAGCCUUGAGGGUACGAGAGGAGACUAUGCAGGAGAUGGAUUCUAAAAUGGAUUCCAUGGUUCAAGAGAAGUUUAUGUUAUUUGCUAAACAGAUUGGUAUUCAAAUUCCAACUGAAUUGAUGGAAAUGAAUAACAUAGGCCGGACGACUCAACAAAAUCCUAGUAGUUGCCAAUAAGUGGGUGAUGAUCCAUUUGCAAACAUACAAGUAUCCAAAACUUUGUUAUUUUAUAUUUUUUAUCUUUUUUUUUAAUGAUUUAUGACUGCGACAUUCUUUUAACUUUGUAACUCAGUUUUCUAUAUUUUUUAAUUAUGAUUUUUUUCUAUCUUUGUAAGGAACCGGUUCCUUGUCGGCUAUCAUUGUUGAAAAAUGACUCUGAGAAAGUCAUUGUCGCUGAAGGUACAUAUCAUCCGGAGUUAAUCCUUGAUCAUCAUAGUAACCUCAUUCCGUAUCACGUGAGGGUGAGUGUUGAUGAUUUUUUUUACGAGUUCAAAGAAUUCUCGGUUCCAGUUCCUUCUUCAGUCAUCAAGAAACUUAAGCAUGCUCACGUUACAUUUACCCAAUGGCCAAAAGACUUGGUUUCACUCAUGCAUGACAAGGAAUUCAUAUCAAAUAAGAACAAUGGUAACAACAAAGAGGCCAAAUAAAACAUGCAAGACAAACUGAAAGUAGUUGAAAGUGGUCACGAAACAAAAGAGUCCAACACCAAUCCAAAAAAAGUUUUUCUUAUGGAUUAUGCUUUGGAAAACUUGUCUCAGAAGUGUGGGUCUUUGAAUAGUUUGUUAUCUUCAUUACCCAAAGGUGAAACUAUUAAGGUAAAGGUUGAUGCUUGGACCUUUAGUUAUGAAGACAGUAAGGACAUCAUUAUCAAACGUGAAGAUGUCAAUCAACUUCUCACAGGAGCUUGGCUGAAUAUUUCAGUUUUGCAAGUUUUUAUGAUGGCCUUGAGUGACUUACUCGAUACGGAGGAAGUGGCUUCCAUUGGAUUCAUGUGUCCGGAAAUGAUUUCAGAAACUUAUUUGCAUAGUGAUGCUG